UACGGGAGGCAGCGGUGGGGAAGUAUUGCACAAUGGGCGCAAGCCUGAUGCAGGCCAUGCCGCGUGUAUGAAGAAGGCCUUCGGGUUGUAAAGUACUUUCAGUCGUGAGGAAGGUGUUAAGGUUAAUAACCUUAGCAAUUGACGUUAGCGACAGAAGAAGCACCGGCUAACUCCGUGCCAGCAGCCGCGGUAAUACGGAGGGUGCGAGCGUUAAUCGGAAUUACUGGGCGUAAAGGGCACGCAGGCGGUUAAUUAAGUUGGAUGUGAAAUCCCCGGGCUUAACCUGGGAAUGGCAUUCAAGACUGGUUAGCUAGAGUCUUGUAGAGGGGGUAGAAUUCCAUGUGUAGCGGUGAAAUGCGUAGAGAUGUGGAGGAAUACCGGUGGCGAAGGCGGCCCCUGGACAAAGACUGACGCUCAUGUGCGAAAGCGUGGGGAGCAAACAGGGAUUAGAUACC
rnacentral:rRNA from 1 species